rnacentral:rRNA from 1 species
UCCCUCCUACGGGAGGCAGCAGUCGGGAAUAUUGCGCAAUGGAGGAAACUCUGACGCAGUGACGCCGCGUAUAGGACGAAGGUCUUCGGAUUGUAAACUAUUGUCGUUAGGGAAGAGCAAGGACAGUACCUAAGGAGGAAGCUCCGGCUAAAUACGUGCCAGCAGCCGCGGUAAUACGUAUGGUGCAAGCGUUAUCCGGAUUUACUGGGUGUAAAGGGAGCGCAGGCGGCACGGCAAGCCUGAUGUGAAAGCCCGCGGCCCAACCGCGGGACUGCAUUGGGAACGACCGGGCUGGAGUGGCGGAG